UGACUUUAAUGAACUGAUUUGCUAGGGAUAAGCUUUUUGUCUUCCUGCCCUUUAACUGACUUCAAAGCCAAUUUACCAACAAUAUUACACUAGCAUGAUCCAUAAUAAAGCUACUAGCAAUCUACAGUUUAUGAAUUGAAAUACUACUGCAAAGUCAUUACCAUUUUAACAUGAUAUUUACCUAGCUCCAAUACCACUGGUGACCACUAAGUUCAUAUGAACCUUUGAAUUGAUUCAACAACCAAUUAAACAAACCCACUGAACUGAUUACAAUUCAAGCUAUACCAAGGACCCAAUGCCACAAUUAACACUAUACCACAUUUAAUAGAUAACCCAUUUUAGUUAUACAUUUAAUCAACAUAUAUAUAACAGGAAAACAGACAACUACUACAAAUUAAAUGCAGGCAGUCCUCAGUUGAACAAUAAACCCAUCGAAUAUUUCAUUUCAAAAUUCAACAAGCUGACAUCAAUAUGGUUCAGGGUAGUGUACCUGGGAAUACAAUGAAAAGAAGAGAGGAAAAGAAUUAGCAGCAUCACAGUCAACAGUGACAAGCAAAAACCAGAACACAACCCGGGAAUGAGCAAACUCAACCAAAAUAAGCCUCUAAUAUACUUGAAAUCUACCCAAGAGCUUGAAAAACCCAUCAGCAAACAACAAAACAAACCCAAGCAAACUGAAUAACCCUGAAAUUGUUUGAACUACACUAUGCAUAACAGAGAAACUUCAACAACGAGUAGAGAACCAGAAAUGCAAAUUAUGAACUACAGUAUCAAAAUAAACAUACAGCUCUAAUGAAAUAGUAUAUUUUGGUAUUUUCUGAAGAGUUUUUGUUGUUUUUGAUUUUUUUAUCUGUUUUAUUUCAUAUUUUUCUGUAUGUCUAAAGGCUGAAGCUAAUUUAGGACUAGAAUGAAAGAAGAAAUCAGACUUUAUA
rnacentral:lncRNA from 1 species